AUUGAACGCUGGCGGCAGGCCUUACACAUGCAAGUCGGACGAGUGGCGGACGGGUGAGUAAUAUCUCGGAACGUAUCGAAUGAGGGGGGAUAACUAAUGGAAACAUUAGCUAAUACCGCACAUUAUCCUAUCGCCCGAUAGUGGAUUAGCUGGGUGGUGGGGUAAAGGCUGACCAAGGCGACGAUCAGUAGCGGGUCUGAGAGGAUGAACCGCCACACUGGGACUGAGACACGGGCCAGACUCCUACGGGAGGCAGCAGUGGGGAAUAUUGGACAAUGGGCGCAAGCCUGAUCCAGCCAUGCCGCGUGUCUGAAGAAGGCCUUCGGGUUGUAAAGUACUUUUGUCAGGGAAGCGUUACCUGCAGAAUAAGCACCGGCUAACUACGUGCCAGCAGCCGCGGUAAUUC
rnacentral:rRNA from 1 species